UGGGGAAUCUUGCACAAUGGGGGCAACCCUGAUGCAGCGACGCCGCGUGAGCGAUGAAGCCCUUCGGGGCGUAAAGCUCUUUCGACCGGAACGAUAAUGACGGUACCGGGAGAAGAAGCUGCGGCUAAAUACGUGCCAGCAGCCGCGGUAAUACGUAGGCAGCGAGCGUUGUUCGGAGUUACUGGGCGUAAGGAGUGCGUAGGCGGCGAGCCAAGUGUGGUGUGAAAUCUCCCGGCUUAACCGGGAGGGUGCGUCGAAAACUGGUUGGCUGGAGUAUGGGAGAGGAGAGCGGAAUUCCUGGUGUAGCGGUGAAAUGCGUAGAGAUCAGGAGGAACACCUGCGGUGUAGACAGCUUUCUGGACCAAAACUGACGCUGAGGCACGAAAGCGUGGGUAGCAAACA
rnacentral:rRNA from 1 species